ensembl:lncRNA
GGUUGUGUAUCUAUACGUUUCUUUACAUCUACUUGUGUGUCUGUGUCUCUAGGUUUGUGAGCCCCUCUGCGUGGAUUUAAAAAUAUGUACAUUUUAAAAACCAUUGACUUGUCAAGCCCCGCCAGAGGCCCAGACUCCCCCGCAGCCGGAGCUGCUGAGAUGUCUGUUCUUCGCUUCCCUCCCACUCCUACCACCUCCAGCUCCCCUCCUCCUCCCUUCCGUUGAGAACAAGGAAUUUCCAGCCCUUAGCAAAUGGAGAGAGAAACAAAAAGACCAAGAUUAAGGGAAACUACGGAAAAACAACAAAGAGACAGCUGUGAAGAGCGGAGACUACUCUCUAGUUGCGGAGCUCGGGCUUCUCAUUGCAGUGGCUUCUCUUGUUUCGGAGCACAGGCUCUGGAGCGCAGGCUCAAUAGUUGGGGUGCACCAGCCUGCUGCUCCACAGCAUGUGGGAUUUUCCCAGACCAGGAGUCAAACCCACGGCUCCUGCAUUGGCAGGUGGAUUCUUGACUACUAAGCCACCAGAUUGGUAACAAAAUUUGGACAAGAUGGUUGGAUGGCAUCACCGACUCAAUGGUCAUGAAUUUGAACAAGCUCUGUGACAUGGUGAAGGACGGGGAAGCCUGGAUUGCUGUAGUUCACAGGGGUCACAAAGAGUCGGAUACAACUGAGCGACUGAACAACAAAAAUAACAACAAACUUUGAGUGGCACUGUUGUAGUUAAAAUUUGUUUCUUUUAUUUAAGUGAUAAGCAUAUGAGGUACUCUGUGAGCACAGAGGAUGGCCUUGUUUGUGUUUUUAUUUAUUUGGCUGUGUUGGGUCUUGUUUGCAGCACUUGGGAUCUUCAUUGCAUCAUAGGGGAUCGUUCACUCUGGGCAUGAACUCUCUAGUUGUGGCUUAUGGGCUAAGCUGCUCUGUGCCAUGUAGGAUCUUAGUUCCUCAACCAGGCAUCAAACCUGUGUCCCCUGUAUUGCAAGGUGCAUUCUUAACCACUAGACUACCAGGAAAGUCCCCAAAUUUGUUUCUAUACAUCUGUAUUUAGGUGAUAUUAGGACCGUGGGCCAUAAAGUAUCACAGGAGAUACCAUGGAACCAUAAAGACUUUUACAUGGGAGUGACAUGGUCAGAUCUGUAUUUAGGAGUGGUAUGGAGAAAAGGUUUUAUGGAUGUUAAAACUGCAGAGAGGCCAACUUGAAGGAAACAGAAGUGCUCUGAGAAAGAUGGCAAGGUGCUAGACUAAAUCACUGGUGCUGGAGAUGGAGAGGAAAGGACAGAUUUAAAAGAUAGUCAUCGGGGCUUCCCUGGUGGCUCAGAGGUAAAGAAUCCACCUGCCAAUGCAGGAGCCAUGGGUUCUAUCACUGACCCACAUGCUGCAGGGCGACUAACCUUGCUCUGCAACUACUGAGCCCGUGUUGAAGAGCCUAGGAGCCACAACUACUGAAGCCGCAGGGCCCUAGAGGCUGUGCUCUACAAGAGAAGCCUCUGCAGGAAGCCUACACACAGCAACUAGAGCAUAGCCCCUGUUCGCUGCAACUAGAGAAAAGUCCACACAGCAAUGAAGACCCAGCAUAGUGAAAACUCCAAUACAUAGAGAAUUAUUUUUCAAAAAAAACUUAAAAAAAUCAUCAUUGGGUAAUAUGAAUAGGAUUUGAUGAUUGGCUAAAGGGUUGGGCGAAGAGAAGAGUUUAGAGUAAUUCUCAGGCUUCUGGCUUGGGUGACUGAGUGGAUACAAAGGAGCAUUGUCAUCAGAUAGGCACCAUCUGCAGUCUUUUUCCUAAGUUAAGAAAGUUACGAAAACCAAAAAUUUUCAUAUCUCUUUUGACUACAAAACCUAAUCUGACUUGAACUUACUUUGUGGCGGAACUCCUAGCUUAUCAAGGCUGUAUAUUGUCAUCUUGCUUAUUUAAUUUACAUGCGGAGUACAUCAUGUGAAAUGCUGGACUGAAUGAAGCACAAGCUGGAAUCAAGAUUACAGGGAGAAAUAUCAAUAACCUCAGAUAAGCAG